AUAGAUGAAAAAGGUAAUUUAUUGGUUAGGUGAGCAAGAAGAUAAUGUUCCUGUUCUGAAUUUAGAGAUGCAAAUUAGAUACUUCUCAUUUUAUGCUUGUUUGUAAAAUGCUUUUUUUCCCUUUAAAUAUGAAUGUUGAGGCAGAAACCAUAAAUUCUUCUCAAAAAAAAUUCUUUUGUUUUGUGAGGGGGCAUUUCAAAAAAGAACAUUGUGGAAUAGAACCCUUGAGAAUCAGUUGCACAAAGCAUGCUUAAUUAGCUCAAAUAAGUAUUUCUAGAUUAUAAGUGCAAGUGAUGAUCGCAUUUUAAUAGAUGAUAUCCUUCACUCUGAGUCAGUAUUAAUUAUAUUAAUGUUCUGGCAUUAUGAGAUAUAAUGUAAGAAUUGAAUUUUUUGGGGGGAAGCAUAUAAUCAAGAUAUUCAUUACUUGUCAUUAAAAAUAGCUUCCUGAUGCAAGUGGAAGGGUGUUAGCUCCAUUGUUCUAUCUAGAUUCCAACACAGCUAAUUGCAUCCUGCUUACCCAAAUUGCACUGUCUGUGGUUUCACAUUAAUAUGAUAUAUGUGGAUUGAGUGUUAGUGACUGAUGUAUUCCAUCUUCCGUAUUUUCAGGUGUUGCCAAAUUGAUGUCUAAAUGCUGAAAUAUGUUCUUGGCCCAGACCGCUCCUUUCUGUUAUUUAGGAAAUGCUUUCACUCCUGAAGAGAGUAUUUCUACAGCUAACAACUGAAUAUACAAGGAUCAGAGCAAGCUGCAGUACUUGUAUCUGUGUUAGCAUCAAUCAUUUUGGGAAGGAAAGGAAGGCAUCCAGAAUAUUAGGUAAAUAUAGAUUUAUUUUAUUUUUUAAAUAAACUGUUUUCAGAUUACAUAAAGAACAUAUAGAGAUGUGCAAAGAGGUGGAAAGAUGAUUUACCACAGGGUAAUCAUAUUUCAUGAAACUAUGUAGGUCAUUUCAAAAGUAAUGCCUGCUAUUUAUUUGCAUGGAAACUACAACAGAUACAAAGAGCCCAAUAACACAAUUUGAUAGAGAAAAUUCUUAGCUACAAAGCGGUAUUUUUCAACAUCACCA
rnacentral:lncRNA from 1 species